rnacentral:tRNA from 14 species
GGUCCCUUCGUCUAUCGGUUAGGACAGCUGGUUUUCAUCCUGCAAAGGGGGGUUCGAUUCCCCCAGGGACCGCCA